rnacentral:rRNA from 1 species
GAUGAACGCUGGCGGCGUGCCUAAUACAUGCAAGUCGAGCGAACGGACGAGAAGCUUGCUUCUCUGAUGUUAGCGGCGGACGGGUGAGUAACACGUGGAUAACCUACCUAUAAGACUGGGAUAACUUCGGGAAACCGGAGCUAAUACCGGAUAAUAUUUUGAACCGCAUGGUUCAAAAGUGAAAGACGGUCUUGCUGUCACUUAUAGAUGGAUCCGCGCUGCAUUAGCUAGUUGGUAAGGUAACGGCUUACCAAGGCAACGAUGCAUAGCCGACCUGAGAGGGUGAUCGGCCACACGGGAACUAAGACACGGUCCAGACUCCUACGGGAGGCAGCAGUAGGGAAUCUUCCGCAAUGGGCGAAAGCCUGACGGAGCAACGCCGCGUGAGUGAUGAAGGUCUUCGGAUCGUAAAACUCUGUUAUUAGGGAAGAACAUAUGUGUAAGUAACUGUGCACAUCUUGACGGUACCUAAUCAGAAAGCCACGGCUAACUACGUG